rnacentral:rRNA from 1 species
AAAAAAGGUAAGCUACUAAGAGCGAAUGGUGGAUGCCUUGACUGGUAAAGGCGAUGAAGGACGUACUAGACUGCGAUAAGCUACGGGGAGCUGUCAAGAAGCUUUGAUCCGUAGAUUUCCGAAUGGGGCAACCCAAUGUAUAGAGAUAUACAUUACCUAUAUAGGAGCGAACGAGGGGAAUUGAAACAUCUUAGUACCCUCAGGAAAAGAAAUCAAUAGAGAUUGCGUCAGUAGCGGCGAGCGAAAGCGCAAGAGGGCAAACCCAGUGCUUGCACUGGGGGUUGUAGGACUGCAAUGUGCAAGAGGUAAGUUUAGCAGAACAUUCUGGAAAGUAUAACCAUAGAGGGUGAUAGUCCCGUAUGCGAAAAACAAACCUUAGCUAGCAGUAUCCUGAGUAGGGCGGGACACGAGAAAUCCUGUCUGAAGCUGGGUCGACCACGAUCCAACCCUAAAUACUAAUACCAGAUCGAUAGUGCACAAGUACCGUGAGGGAAAGGUGAAAAGAACUGAGGUGAUCAGAGUGAAAUAGAACCUGAAACCAUUUGCUUACAAUCAUUCAGAGCCCUAUGUAGCAAUACAGGGUGAUGGACUGCCUUUUGCAUAAUGAGCCUGCGAGUUGUGGUGUCUGGCAAGGUUAAGCAAACGCGAAGCCGUAGCGAAAGCGAGUCUGAAUAGGGCGCUUAGUCAGAUGCUGCAGACCCGAAACGAAGUGAUCUAUCCAUGAGCAAGUUGAAGCUAGUGUAAGAACUAGUGGAGGACUGAACCCAUAGGCGUUGAAAAGCCCCGGGAUGACUUGUGGAUAGGGGUGAAAGGCCAAUCAAACUUCGUGAUAGCUGGUUCUCUCCGAAAUAUAUUUAGGUAUAGCGUUGUGUCGUAAUAUAAGGGGGUAGAGCACUGAAUGGGCUAGGGCAUACACCAAUGUACCAAACCCUAUCAAACUCCGAAUACCUUAUAUGUAAUCACAGCAGUCAGGCGGCGAGUGAUAAAAUCCGUCGUCAAGAGGGAAACAACCCAGACUACCAGCUAAGGUCCCUAAAUCUUACUUAAGUGGAAAACGAUGUGAAGUUACUUAAACAACCAGGAGGUUGGCUUAGAAGCAGCCAUCCUUUAAAGAAAGCGUAAUAGCUCACUGGUCUAGUGAUUUUGCGCGGAAAAUAUAACGGGGCUAAAGUAAGUACCGAAGCUGUAGACUUGCGCACAACUUAGAUUAUUUAAGUUUAGAAUAUGAGAAACUAAGUUAUAUGUUUAGUUAUAUUUUUACUGAUUUUUAUAGAGUAAAGAUAGAAAUAAAACUUAGUAAAAUCAGUAAAAAUAUUCUUAGACUAAAGUUAAGUAGUUUAAGUUGUGUGCAAGUGGUAGGAGAGCGUUCUAUUUGCGUCGAAGGUAUACCGGUAAGGAGUGCUGGAGCGAAUAGAAGUGAGCAUGCAGGCAUGAGUAGCGAUAAUUAAUGUGAGAAUCAUUAACGCCGUAAACCCAAGGUUUCCUACGCGAUGCUCGUCAUCGUAGGGUUAGUCGGGUCCUAAGUCGAGUCCGAAAGGGGUAGACGAUGGCAAAUUGGUUAAUAUUCCAAUACCAACAUUAGUGUGCGAUGGAAGGACGCUUAGGGCUAAGGGGGCUAGCGGAUGGAAGUGCUAGUCUAAGGUCGUAGGAGGUUAUACAGGCAAAUCCGUAUAACAAUACUCCGAGAACUGAAAGGCUUUUUGAAGUCUUCGGAUGGAUAGAAGAACCCCUGAUGCCGUCGAGCCAAGAAAAGUUUCUAAGUUUAGCUAAUGUUGCCCGUACCGUAAACCGACACAGGUGGGUGGGAUGAGUAUUCUAAGGCGCGUGGAAGAACUCUCUUUAAGGAACUCUGCAAAAUAGCACCGUA